rnacentral:rRNA from 1 species
UAAUGUCUGGGAAACUGCCUGAUGGAGGGGGGAUAACUACUGGAAACGGUAGCUAAUACCGCAUAACGUCGCAAGACCAAAGAGGGGGACCUUCGGGCCUCUUGCCAUCAGAUGUGCCCAGAUGGGAUUAGCUAGUAGGUGGGGUAACGGCUCACCUAGGCGACGAUCCCUAGCUGGUCUGAGAGGAUGACCAGCCACACUGGAACUGAGACACGGUCCAGACUCCUACGGGAGGCAGCAUG